AACGAACGCUGGCGGCAGGCUUAACACAUGCAAGUCGAGCGAGACCUUCGGGUCUAGCGGCGGACGGGUGAGUAACGCGUGGGAACGUGCCCUUCUCUACGGAAUAGCCCCGGGAAACUGGGGGUAAUACCGUAUACGCCCUUUGGGGGAAAGAUUUAUCGGAGAAGGAUCGGCCCGCGUUGGAUUAGGUAGUUGGUGGGGUAAUGGCCCACCAAGCCGACGAUCCAUAGCUGGUUUGAGAGGAUGAUCAGCCACACUGGGACUGAGACACGGCCCAGACUCCUACGGGAGGCAGCAGUGGGGAAUCUUAGACAAUGGGGGCAACCCUGAUCUAGCCAUGCCGCGUGAGUGAUGAAGGCCUUAGGGUUGUAAAGCUCUUUCAGCUGGGAAGAUAAUGACGGUACCAGCAGAAGAAGCCCCGGCUAACUCCGUG
rnacentral:rRNA from 1 species